ACUCAUGUAGUUUAAAAACUAAAACAUUCCAUUUUCAAUGAAAAGAUAAGGCUUACCUUUAUGAGUG
rnacentral:tRNA from 1 species